rnacentral:rRNA from 1 species
AGCAAUCUGCCCAUGUCUGGGGGAUAACAGUUGGAAACGACUGAUAAUACCGCAUAAUAUGGUUUGAAGGCAUCUUCUUUCCAUCAAAGAUUUAUCGGAUAUGGAUGAGCUCGCGUCUGAUUAGCUUGUUGGUGAGGUAACGGCUCACCAAGGCGACGAUCAGUAGCCGACCUGAGAGGGUGAUCGGCCACAUUGGAACUGAGACACGGUCCAAACUCCUACGGAAGGCAGCAG